CGGCGCAGGCCGACCACCGGCUGGGCCACCAGCUGGCCCAGCCCAAGGGAGGUUUUUCUUUGUCUCUUUGGAAUGGUGCAUAAAAUGUGGUUUAUCUCCAGAUGCAGAAUAUGUAUGCUAUGUGCUGUGUGCCAACCAGCUUCACACCCAGCUUAAUUUCUAUUCUACGGUCUGGUCAGGAUCCCCCAAGGUUGAACACUGAUUGAUUACAGAGUUGCAGGAAAGGGGUGCGAGACCGUCUGGAAGCCAAGAGAAGCACAACGGAGGAGCCAGGAGACACAGAGGUAGCAAGACCUCUGGGAUAGACUACCCUCCCCGUUUGGCACUUUUGCUUCCCCCUCUCCUGGUCCCGAACAGGAAUCAACCACGUGCACGAUUUUAUGUGUCAUAAAGAAUGCUGCAAAAACAAAGGUGAGUCUAUGUUCUUGGCUCAGAAUUCGUUCAUUUAAUACCAAGGGCCUCUCAAGUUCAGCUUGGCUACCCAUAGCUUCAUCAGCUCAUCCGUGCAGAUAUCUUUGCAAAUGUCCAGAAGGAGCAUUUGCAUCCAUUUGGGAUGGAUUCCAUUCCUUCACCCUUCGCUCCAGAUUCUCUAAAAGCCUCAUAAAAUUUCCUUUGAGCUGAGCUCAGUUUCAGGGACUUCACGAUCACCUGUCAUUUUAUUGACAGAUUUGCUGUUGACUUUGGGAGCAUUGGAAUCUAUGAUAUAUUACUUGUUGGUGUAACUUAUGAUUAAGGAUUGUAACUAUGAUCCAUAAUGUACGACCUACCACUUGGCUGUUGUAGGUAUAUUGAGAGCUUCUGCGCCGGAGACAAAUUCCUUGUGUGUCCAAUCACACUUGGCCAAUAAAGAAUUCUAUUCUUUUCUAAUUUUUUUUUUUUAAUUUCCCAGCCUAACGUAUAACCCUGGUAGUGCCUCACCCUGCUAUUAAGCGAGCUGAACAGGGCAAUAGUUGUGUCUGAACAGGCGAAGAGGGCAACAGCUGCAGAGUGUGAAUUAAGCUCUGCCCCACCAUCUAAAGACAAAGAACAGCUGAGUUUCUUCCUGGAGAGGACCUCAAAGGCCCCAAAGUGGCUGAGGAGGGGGACAGCCUGUAUCCCCCCCCCCUCUGUUCCCUUCCAUUGCAUAAUGAGAUUUCUAAGAGUUCCCUCACUACCCCCUUCCACCUCCAAGUUAAUGAGGGACUGAAAGGUAAGGUGAAAUGAUUGAAGUCUGAAAUUAUUUGUUAGAUUUUUAAAAUCUCAUCUUUAUUACUUUAUAAAUAACUCAAGGCAGUGAACAUGCCUACUCCUCCUAUUUUCCUCACAACAAUCCUGUGAGGUGGGUUGGGCUAAGAGAGAGAAACUGGCUCGGUCACCCAACUGGCUUUCGUGCCUAAGGUGAAACUAGAACUCACGGCCUCCUGCCUAUUGGCUCAGUCACCCAGUCAGCUUUCAUGCUUAAGGGGGGACUAGAACUCACCGCCUCCUGGCGAUUGGCUCAGU